GUGAACAUUUGGUGGUUGACACGUGUUGGAAGUGUUUGCGGUAUCUUGUGUGCAGUCAUAAAUAGCUACAAAGCACGUGCUUUCAUCCGCUGGAGAAAAUUAAUAAUGACAGGGUCACCGCCUAGCUUGCCCGGCCAGGCGGCACCCAAAUGUUAAUGUUGGAAAGGGUGAGGAUGGAUGCGAGCGUAUUGUGUACGGAAUUGUAUAACUGUGGAACAGAUUUCUUCUUGAGAAGUCCUAUCAUUUGAAGACAGCAGAUGGGAAGACAAAGAAUUCUGAACUAGUGGUACUAAGCAACUUCCUUAAUUUAAUCUACUCUUAAAUGUAAUUUUCAUUCAAAACAAUCUUUUCUGUCAAUUCAGGUUUGAUAAACGUAUGGGCCCUUUUACAUGAAGUCACUAAGCACACAGCCAUACUUGAUACAAAAAUCUGUAAUGUUGUAUACAUACAGUUUUGGUCUCAGCCAGGCUUUUCUUCCCAGUCAUCAUUACUGCUGUUACUUUCAAGUCACUGUCCCUCAGACUUAUGGACUCACUAGUACUUCUUUAUAAAAUAUUCUCCUAACUUCUCUGUCCAUCUUAUCAUAUCUUCCUAUAUUAUCAGUGUGGAUAACGACAGACAUCUCCCAACACAUGCUUACAAGAAUGAAGUUUACAACACUGCAUCAUACACAUGAAGACUGAAGACAAUGGCAUUGCACUUGUAGGAUGACUGUGAAGCAGCUAAUUUUGUGAUGUGGACUGUAACAGUCUCAAAAUGGUAAGUUCAGUCCAUUCUACAAGGCCAAGAAAAUGUGGGAGCCACCCACAAUGAAUCAAGUGCUGGCUGAUGAGUGCGGAUCACAGGAGCUCCAAUGCCCAUUGGUGACAGGAUACCUCAAACACGCUAGUUGUCAAUCGCAGUCUAGGAACCACCUGCUACUAUUCAAUGGCUCAGUAAUCAGCUUUCAGUAGAAAUGGAUUGGUAUGAAAAUUUAAUGGAACUGUAGAAACCAGUGAUUCCUUCUCGGUCAGUGCCUAAGUUACAUAGGGUGGACCAACCAGAGGAAUUUCCGUUGUCCGAAGCAUUAUUAAAUAAUGACUAAUGAAGACACAAAGAAACUCUUGUGGUUUUAGUCCGCAAGCGAACUAUACUGACCAAGCGACUGCCACUUGUCAGCAAAGUUAGUGCUACAACAGACUGGAAAAUUGGGAGUGUGCUUUAGUUGUAACAAAUUCAUCUGUAUAUUCAUUAUAGAAGUUUACUAAAUGGUUGUCUCUUCAAGCAUCAACAACCCCACGCGUGAAAUGCCUCCUCUCCCCCCACAAUCCUUCAUUACAUUUUGAAAUGUUUUCCCUCCAGCUCCAGUGUUAAGCAUGACAGUGUGUGCAACAGUUUAAUAAAGUGAACCUCUCUGCAGUCAGAAGUAACCCUUUAAAGGUAAAGGUGUUUCUCUGCUUAACUAAUUAAGCACUAUGCCAUGAAAGCAUGUGGGGAGUGGAUGUAUUACAUUUGUGAAAUAUGGCAAUGUCAAAGAGUGGGACAGUGAAUAAAAAGUGUCACACUUCUUACGAAAGGCAGGCUGAAACUGAAAGGAAUCCACAUUCUUGAUAUGCAUUGACACAAUUUCUAGGAAUAAGAAGGUACUGCCAGAUUUUAAACUGGACCUUUCAGUGCAUUCAAAUCUGCAUACGAGUUGGAUUUUUGAGAGAAGGGUUCAAAUAUACUUUUGCAUAUUUCUGGGAGUUUCAACAGUUUACU